AUUGAACGCUGGCGGCAGGCUUAACACAUGCAAGUCGAGCGAGCGGCGGACGGGUGAGUAAUGUCUGGGAAACUGCCUGAUGGAGGGGGAUAACUACUGGAAACGGUAGCUAAUACCGCAUACCAUCAGAUGUGCCCAGAUGGGAUUAGCUAGUAGGUGGGGUAAUGGCUCACCUAGGCGACGAUCCCUAGCUGGUCUGAGAGGAUGACCAGCAACAUGGGAAAUGAGACACGUGCCAGACUCCUACGGGAGGAAGCAGUGGGGAAUAUUGCACAAUGGGCGCAAGCCUGAGGCAGCAAUGCCGAGUGUGUGAAGAAGGCCUUCGGGUUGUAAAGUACUUUCAGCGAGUAGGCGUUACUCGCAGAAGAAGCACCGGCUAACUCCGUGCCAGCAGCCGCGGUAAUAC
rnacentral:rRNA from 1 species